rnacentral:lncRNA from 1 species
GGAACAUAUCUACAAUUUAACAGCUGGGCUUUCCAAGUGCAGUGCACAGUGUCCCAUUUAAAAAAAAAACACCAAAAAGCAUGCAGUUGCUAAACGAUGGGUUCCUGACAGCAAGCUGCCGGGAUGGGAAUGCUCUGCUGCGUGACUUCAUGCUUCUUGGCGAUUCUGGACAUUUACAAACUUUGCAGCCAACUCCAUGAGGUCUGUUUCUCUGGAAAAGAAGAGCUGGAGGUAUGGAUUCACAUGUAUUUUCUGGGGAGAGACAGUGGCACUUCUGCUGACAGAGGGGUGAACUGAUGUCAGAGUUCCCAGGCCUGGAGUGCUGUGAGAUGCUAACUCGAAGCUCAAUUCUGUGCUGAGGAGUUGACAUCCGAAUAGCCUCCGUGGGUUUGUGUGGCAAAGAUAAGAAUAUUAUCUACUGCCUUCAGGGGUGCCCUUUUCACCAAUUUUUGCACAACAAAGACCAAAGCCGGGCAGGUUUCUGUAAGAAUCUCUUCUCGUGAGGCUUAAGCGUCUCGAAACUAUCAACCGAAACAUUUUCACAGUGGGAGGAAGCAAUAAACAAAUCUCAGGCCACACAGCCUUUAUUAUUUAUUUAUUUAUUUAUUUUGGUCAGUGUACCAUGCAUUACUCUGACGGUGACCAAGGAUAAUAAAAAAGAAACAGAAAAAUCAGCACGCGGACUGAAACCUCCUCUCAUUCUUAUGAACACACACGGCCCAGCAUUGGUAC